UGAGCCCUGAAACACCACAUCACCACAGCUGUACUCAUCUUGUGUCUUGUUGCUCUCAUUGACGAGGGGGGAUGAUAAAUUAUCGACGAUGGCGAGGAGAGCAACGGAUGAGGCAUGAUUGCUGCGCGCUCCCGAGCAGUACAGGCUCGUUCGCGGGUCAGACGCUCCGUGGCUGUGGGAGUGAACCGCAAUAAGAAAUAAUUCAUGGGGAAAAGGUCGGCAUUUUGACGGAGCGAGAACUGCUCCUGUAUGUUGCACAUUUGCUUUGAAUAAAACCAAGUCAUUUACUUCCUGCAACGUCUCAAUAAACACGGGGAAUUUAUUUGCAUUAAAGGUCUAAUUUGAA